rnacentral:rRNA from 1 species
CACUUUGCCUUUAUGGCAAAUGUGAGAUGCAGUGUAUGGAAUGUCAAAUUUCUAGUAUGAGAAAUUAACGAUUUAAGUCCUUCUUAAAUGAGGCCAUUUACCCAUAGAGGGUGCCAGGCCCGUAUAACGUUAAUGAUUACUAGAUGACAUUUCCAAAGAGUCGUGUUGCUUGAUAGUGCAGCACUAAGUGGGUGGUAAACUCCAUCUAAAACUAAAUAUAACCAUGAGACCGAUAGUAAACAAGUACCGUGAGGGAAAGUUGAAAAGAACUCUGAAUAGAGAGUUAAAUAGUACGUGAAACUGCUUAGAGGUUAAGCCCGAUGAACCUGAAUAUCCAUUAUAGAAAAUUCAUCAUUAUGAUUUUAAUAUUUAUAAUAUUAUAAUAAUGUUGUGCACUUUUUCUAUAGAGGACAUUGUAAUCUAUUAACAUAAAACUAAAUUUAUCAUAAGAUCAAGUAUGCGUAAGUUUAUUCAAAUUAUUUUGCUUGCAAUUUAACAUAAAAUAAAUGCUCUUGAUUUGAUAAAGUGUUGAUAGAUUUAUUACAUAUAGUGCUUAAAUAUUUAUAUUUUAUAGUAGCAUAUUAAUUUUUAAUUUUUAUGUUUACUAUAUGCACUUAUAUGAUUAACAAUGCGAAAGAUUCAGGAUACCUUCGGGACCCGUCUUGAAACACGGACCAAGGAGUCUAACAUAUUUGCAAGUUAUUGGGAAUAAAAACCUAAUAGCGUAAUUAACAUAACUUAAAUAUAAUGGGAUUAGUUUUUAGCCUAUUUAUAGUCUAUUAAUUCAAUCCCGGGGCGUUCUAUAUGGUUAUGUAUAAUAAUAUUUAUAUUAUUUAUGCCUCUAACUGGAACGUACCUUGAGCAUAUAUGCUGUGACCCGAAAGAUGGUGAACUAUACUUGAUCAGGUUGAAGUCAGGGGAAACCCUGAUGGAAGACCGAAACAGUUCUGACGUGCAAAUCGAUUGUCAGAAUUGCAGUAUAGGGCG